rnacentral:lncRNA from 1 species
AACAAAACCUAUAGGUCUUUCCACGGAAAGGUGGAAAGACCUAAUAAUUAAAAACCAAUUGUUCAAAGAACAAUUGAAGGUCUUUCCACAAGUAAAGAUCUAUUUUAUAUCAAAAUAUUAAAAAUCAGUCUAAAAUGUCAGUUCCUAUGACUUUAUAAUGUAUAAAUAUGAAUUUAAAGCAAAGGUCAAAAUCUAGAACGUCCUAUUAACCUUUGACCUUGACCUCAAUUUCAAGGUCACCAAACCAAGGACCUCAAAUAAAAGACCCUAGGUCUGUAAUAUGUAUGGUUAAUGAGUUAAUAUCACUUUAGGCAUGAUUUUAAAUAUAAGAUGGGCGAAAAACUCUCAUUUAUUGUUUACGCACCCUUUCCAACCAAAAUUUAUAAGUUACAACAUGUCGCAACUCACAAUUUAGUAAAAAUAAUUUGUCAAUAUCUUUCACGGUUGUUGAAAAUAAGAGAAAAUAAGCCAAAAUCAAAAUUUAGAAUAUGACCUUGACCUUUGACCUUGACCUUAUUUUCAUUUUUUUUGGACCAAGGAACUUAAAUCCAAAGACCCUAGGCCUAUAUCACUUAUGGUUUACCAGUUAGAAACGCAUAUCACUUAUAUCAAAUGCAAAAGGGGGAAUAACUCUCAUAUGGAGUCUCCGGAUAGCUUCGGUCCAAAUGAAUAUCCUAAUCCUGAAGAUGUAACGAGCAAUUUGGUAAAAUAAAUUUGUCGUAAUCUUUUACGGUUGCGAAGGAGUAGUGGCCACAAGAAAAACAGUGUUUGGGGAGAUAACUCUUACAACGUAAAGUAUUUUUGUUACGCAGUUGUAAAUUUUUAAAAGCGUAUAAACUAUACGACAUCAUAUUCCAAAUAUCUAAGCGACAUCUUUUGAAACAACAAUACUACGCAAGAAAAAAAUUUAGGCGGAAGAAAAAAAAAAAAAAAAAAAAUAAUUAAAAACCAAUUGUUCAGAGAACAAUUGAAGGUCUUUCCACUAGUAAAGAUCUAUUUUGAUAUUGAAAUAUGAAAAAUCAGUUUAAAAUGUUAGUUCCUAUGGCUUUAUGAUGUAUUUAUAUGAAUUUAAAGCAAAGGUCAAAAUCUAGAACGUCCUAUUAACCUAUGACCUUGACCUCAAUUUCAAGGUCACAAACCAAGGACCUUAAAUCAAAAGACCCUAGGUCUUUAAUAUGUUUGGUUAAUGAGUAAUACCACUUUACGCGUAAUUCUAAAUGUAAGAUGGACAAAAACUCCCAUUUAUUGUAUGCGCACCCUUUCAACCAAAAUAUACAAGUAAGGACAUGUCGCAACUAACAAUUUAUGAAAAAUUAUUUGUCGAUAUGUCAUACGGUAUUUGAAAAUAAGUGAAAAUAAGCCAAAAUCAAAAUUUAGAAUAUGACCUUGACCUUUGACCUUGACCUCAUUUUCAUUUUUUUGGACCAAGG